rnacentral:rRNA from 1 species
AGCGAACGCUGGCGGCAGGCCUAACACAUGCAAGUCGAACGAACCUUUCGGGGUUAGUGGCGGACGGGUGAGUAACACGUGGGAACGUGCCUUUAGGUUCGGAAUAACUCAGGGAAACUUGUGCUAAUACCGAAUGUGCCCUUCGGGGGAAAGAUUUAUCGCCUUUAGAGCGGCCCGCGUCUGAUUAGCUAGUUGGUUAGGUAAUGGCUCACCAAGGCGACGAUCAGUAGCUGGUCUGAGAGGAUGAUCAGCCACAUUGGGACUGAGACACGGCCCAAACUCCUACGGGAGGCAGCAGUGGGGAAUCUUGCGCAAUGGGCGAAAGCCUGACGCAGCCAUGCCGCGUGAAUGAUGAAGGUCUUAGGAUUGUAAAAUUCUUUCACCGGGGACGAUAAUGACGGUACCCGGAGAAGAAGCCCCGGCUAACUUCGUG